rnacentral:SRP_RNA from 1 species
CGUUGGUCCUCUCGCAUCAGAAUCUUGUUUACUAGGUCAGGCCCGGAAGGGAGCAGCCAAAGCAGGAACCUUUGAGUGCCGGGAUGUGGCUGGCGGGG